GUGUCAGCAGCCGCGGUAAUACGUAGGGGGCGAGCGUUGUCCGGAUUUACUGGGCGUAAAGAGCGCGUAGGCGGUGAGUUUAGUCGUGCGUGAAAUACCUCGGCUCAACCGGGGGGUGUCGUGCGAUACUGGCUCACUCGAGGCUGGUAGGGGGAAGUGGAAUUCCCGGUGUAGUGGUGGAAUGCGUAGAUAUCGGGAGGAACACCAGUGGCGAAGGCGGCUUCCUGGACCAGUCCUGACGCUGAGGCGCGAAAGCGUGGGGAGCGAACUGAAUUAGAUACUCAGGUAGUCCACGCCGUAAACGAUGGAUGCUAGGUGUCGGGGGUAUCGACCCCUCCGGUGCCGCAGCUAACGCAUUAAGCAUCCCGCCUGGGGAGUACGGCCGCAAGGCUAAA
rnacentral:rRNA from 1 species